GAUGAACGCUGGCGGCGUGCCUAAUACAUGCAAGUCGAGCGAACAGAUGAGGAGCUUGCUCCUCUGACGUGAGCGGCGGACGGGUGAGUAACACGUGGAUAACCUACCUAUAAGACUUGGAUAACUUCGGGAAACCGGAGCUAAUACCGGAUAAUAUAUUGAACCGCAUGGUUCAAUAGUGAAAGACGGUUUUGCUGUCACUUAUAGAUGGAUCCGCGCCGCAUGAGCGAGUGGGUAAGGUAACGGCUUACCAAGGCAACGAUGCGUAGCCGACCUGAGAGGGUGUUCGGCCACACUGGAACUGAGCCACGGCCCAGACUCCUACGGGAGGCAGCAGUAGGGAAUCUUCCGAAAUGGGCGAAAGCUUGCCGGAGCAACGCCGCGUGAGUGCUGAAGGUCUUCGGAUCGUAAAACUCUGUUCUUAUGGAAGACCAAAUGUGUAAGUAACUAUGCACGUCUUGACGGUACCUAAUCAGAAAGCCACGGCUAACUACGUG
rnacentral:rRNA from 1 species